rnacentral:rRNA from 1 species
GACGAACGCUGGCGGCGUGCUUAACACAUGCAAGUCGAACGGAAAGGCCCUGCUUUUGUGGGGUGCUCGAGUGGCGAACGGGGGAGUAACACGUGAGUAACCUGCCCUUGACUUUGGGAUAACUUCAGGAAACUGGGGUGAAUACCGGAUAGGAGCUCCUGCUGCAUGGGGGGGGUGGGAAAGUUUCGGCGGUUGGGGAUGGACUCGCGGCUUAUCAGUUUGUUGGUGGGGUAGUGGCUUACCAAGGCUUUGACGGGUAGCCGGCCUGAGAGGGUGACCGGCCACAUUGGGACUGAGAUACGGCCCAGACUCCUACGGGGGGCAGCGGUGGGGAAUAUUGCACAAUGGGCGGAAGCCUGAUGCAGCAACGCCGCGUGCGGGAUGACGGCCUUCGGGUUGUAAACCGCUUUCGCCUGUGACGAAGCGUGAGUGACGGUAAUGGGUAAAGAAGCACCGGCUAACUACGUG